rnacentral:tRNA from 1 species
CCCAGGGUAGCCUAGUGUACAUGGCAUCUGCCCGGUAAGCGGAACAAUAUGGGUUCGAUUCCCAUCCCUGGUCAA